rnacentral:other from 1 species
UUGAUCCUGAUAUGUUCGUUUGUUGCUCGUUAUUUGACCGAACACUUUUAAAAAAGGGAGCUUGAAGUUUUUAUAGUGCAUGCAAGCCACUUUCUAAAGUGGAAGCAUUAUACCUAUAAAACAGAGCACCCACCUGCCAUAAGCGGGAUCAAAACAGAAAUCAAACGGCAUAAUCGGGAUUUUG